GCUGCCUUACCCACACAGUGGGAAAUUGUCUGGAUGACAUUUAAGCUCUCUUGAAACCUUUCAGUGAAAAAAUUUCAACACUUUGUCUGCCUACCCUAAACUUCUCCAACACUGAGCCAUCAGUAAUGUCUUGGACUACAAUCAGGAUGGGUGAUGGGAGAGGCAGCCCAACAAUAUUUAGGAAGCAAAAGUUGGGGAAGUUGGCUACCCUAUGGACUACUCUCAUGGCUUUCCCACAAGACAUCUUGGGAGCUGUAAUUCAAUGACUGUUUUGAGAAUUCUCUUUUGGAAACCAUAGCAGAUGCAGAAACAUCA